rnacentral:rRNA from 1 species
CGGCGGCGACGGGUGAGUAACGCGUGGGUAACCUGCCUCAUACAGGGGGAUAACAGUUAGAAAUGACUGCUAAUACCGCAUAAGACCACAGCACCGCAUGGUGCGGGGGUAAAAACUCCGGUGGUAUGAGAUGGACCCGCGUCUGAUUAGCUAGUUGGUAAGGUAACGGCUUACCAAGGCGACGAUCAGUAGCCGACCUGAGAGGGUGACCGGCCACAUUGGGACUGAGACACGGCCCAA